CCCUUAGAUGUUCUGGGCCGCACGCGCGCUACACUGAUGCAUUCAACGAGUUUCUUCCUGGUCCGAGAGGAAUGGGUAACCUUUUGAAAGUGCAUCGUGAUAGGGAUAGACUAUUGCAAUUAUUGGUCUUCAACGAGGAAUUCCUAGUAGACGUAGUUCAUCAGACUGCAUCGAUUACGUCCCAGCCCUUUGUACACACCGCCCGUCGCUCCUACCGAUUGAAUGCUCAGGUGAGCCAUUCGGACUUUCAUCAUGCUGGUUUCCAGUUUUGAUGAAGGAAAGUCUUGCGAACCUUAUCAUUUAGAGGAAGGAGAAGUCGUAACA
rnacentral:rRNA from 1 species